ACACCGUCCUGGCCUCCACCUCCGUAAACUACACAAAAGGAACAGACGAUAUUAACGGAAUUGAAUCGAUGCUGCUGCUUGGACACACAGAUCUGUCAUUUGGUGACAAUGUGGACACAAGAGAAAUUCACAUUACACACGACAGUAUCGCAGUAAUCGUUUCAAUAACAAAAUAACGUCCUUGUUUAUUACAAGCAGUGUUUGUGAGGAGGUUGUUAUAGCCGCUACAAAUCAUAUUUUUGCCUACAAAUCAUAUGUCUGGCACAUUUAUUUCAUUCGAGAAAUAAGAGGGGAAAAAAAAGAAUCCGCAGAGAAACAUGAAUGUAACUCACCUCGUCAAUUCCUCAUAAAGUCAUAUUCUACUGUGAAACCCAGUCAUCACGUCUCAGUGGCUGUCUAUUUCAAAAAGCUAUUAAUAAAUUGCCCUCCUAAUA